rnacentral:rRNA from 1 species
CCCUUAGACGUUCUGGGCCGCACGCGCGCUACACUGACGAUGGCAACGAGCUUUCCUUUACCGAAAGGUACGGGUAAUCUUUUGAAACUUCGUCGUGCUGGGGAUAGAUCCUUGCAAUUUUUGAUCUUAAACGAGGAAUUCCUAGUAAGCGCAAGUCAUCAACUUGCGUUGAUUACGUCCCUGCCCUUUGUACACACCGCCCGUCGCUACUACCGAUUGAAUGGUUUAGUGAGGCCUUCGGAUCCGCGACUCGUUUUGUGGAGAAGUUGGACAAACUCAGUCAUUUAGAGGAAGUAAAAGUCGUAACA